UGGUUUUGUGAUCUCUAUCAGGGAACACAAGACUAACAAGUCCUUUGGGGUGGCCCAAAUGUUCUUAGAGACUGACGAGUUUCGAUGGCUGGAGAGGUGGCUGCAGCUGCGGGUGGCCAGCAAGCCACCGAACAAGCUGGUUUUCUUCACGGCUGGGAAGGGCCCAUGCUAAAACUUCUUGCACCACCUGCAGGUAGCGUGGGCGGAGAUCAGCCUUAAAGGGUCCCCCAACUUCACUGACCUGAGGACCGCUGUGUCUGCUCAUGUCAAGAACAACCUUCUGUCGGGCAGCAGAAGAUGGUGGCCACCUUUAUGUGCCACAACAUGGCCACCGCUGACUGCUUCUACGCCCUCAGCCUGAACGUGGCCCAGUCAAAGAGGAUGAGGGAGCAUUUCCGCUAGGCCCUCACCCACACCGCGCAAUCACCGGAGCAACCAGAAGCCUCCUCCUCCUCCCCCCCCAGGAAGAGUUACCGCAAGCCUGAGUCCUCCUCCAGUUCCAAGACAAAACCCCUGCCCCCUACCAGGAGUCAGGGACCUCGGGACUGGAGAAGGAGAGGGAGUUUAUGGCGAGGCUGCAAAAUACACCACAGAAGGCCCGAGAAGUCUCGUGAACACGCCAGUGUGCUUCAACCUAACUCGUGUGAUGGGAAAUGUCUUCAGCCACACCGGAAAAUAAGUUUUGUUUUUAAUACUUUGCUUUUGUAUGAGCUGGAUUAUACAGUACACCAAACGUAUUAUGAAUAAAACAACAUGGAUAUUCCA